AGACAGCAGUCGCCGCGGUAAUACGUAGGGCGCAAGCGUUAUCCGGAAUUAUUGGGCGUAAAGAGCUCGUAGGCGGUUUGUCGCGUCUGCCGUGAAAGUCCGGGGCUCAACCCCGGAUCUGCGGUGGGAACGGGCAGACUAGAGUGAUGUAGGGGAGACUGGAAUUCCUGGUGUAGCGGUGAAAUGCGCAGAUAUCAGGAGGAACACCGAUGGCGAAGGCAGGUCUCUGGGCAUUAACUGACGCUGAGGAGCGAAAGCAUGGGGAGCGAACAGGAUUAGAUACCCGCGUAGUCCCUGUCUCUUAUAC
rnacentral:rRNA from 1 species